rnacentral:rRNA from 1 species
UGGGGAAUAUUGCACAAUGGGCGAAAGCCUGAUGCAGCAACGCCGCGUGAGUGAUGAAGGCCUUCGGGUUGUAAAGCUCUGUCUUUUGGGACGAUAAUGACGGUACCAAAGGAGGAAGCCACGGCUAACUACGUGCCAGCAGCCGCGGUAAUACGUAGGUGGCAAGCGUUGUCCGGAUUUACUGGGCGUAAAGGAUGCGUAGGCGGAUUUUUAAGUGAGAUGUGAAAACCCUAAGCUUAACUUGGGGACUGCAUUUCAUACUGGAAAUCUAGAGUGCGGGAGAGGAGAAUGGAAUUCCUAGUGUAGCGGUGAAAUGCGUAGAGAUUAGGAAGAACACCAGUGGCGAAGGCGAUUCUCUGGACCGUAACUGACGCUGAGGCAUGAAAGUGUGGGUAGCAACAGGAUUAGAUACCCUGGUAGUCCACGCCGUAAACGAUGAGUACUAGGUGUAGGAGGUAUCGACCCCUUCUGUGCCGCAGUUAACACAAUAAGUACUCCGCCUGGGAAGUACGAUCGCAAGAUUAAAACUUAAAGGAAUUGACGGGGGUCAUAGCUG